GUUGAAAGCUCAGGCGGUGUAGGAUGGGUCUGCGGCGUAUCAGGUCGUAGGGGGUGUAAUGGACCUCCUAGCCAUCGACGCGUACGGGUUGUGGGAGCAAUAGCCCGGAGACGGAUUCUGAGACACGAAUCCGGACCCUACGGGGUGCAGCAGGCGCGAAAACUUCACACUGCAGGAAACUGUGAUGAGGGAACUCCAAGUGACUGCCCAAUGGGUAGCCUUUUCUUGAAUCUUAAUAGUUCUUGGAAUAAGGGCUGGGAGAGACCGGUGCCAGCCGCCGCGGUAAUGCCGGCAGCUCAAGUGGCCGUCGCUUUUAUUGGGCCUAAAACGUCCGUAGCCUGUUUGGUAAAUCUGUGGGUAAAUCAACGAGCUUAACUCGUUGAACUCUGCAGAGACUGCCAGACUAGGGACCGGGAGAGGUAUGAGGUACUCUGGGGGUAGGGGUAAGAUCCUGUCAUCCUCAGAGGACCACCUGUUGCGAAGGCGUCAUACUGGAACGGAUCCGACGGUCAGGGACGAAGCCUAGGGGCACGAACCGGAUUAGAUACCCGGGUAGUCCUAGGUGUAAACGCUGUGGAUUUGGUGUGUGGGGUCCGCAAUGGGCCCCAUGUGCCGGAGUGAAGAUGUUAAAUCCACUGCCUGGGGAGUACGGUCGCAAGGCUGAAACUUAAAGGAAUUGGCGGGGCAGCAC
rnacentral:rRNA from 1 species